UACAGAGGGUGCGAGCGUUGUCCGGAAUCACUGGGCGUAAAGGGCGCGUAGGCGGCUUGGUAAGGUUGCGGUGAAAGCCCGGGGCUCAACCCCGGAACGGCAUUUGAAACUACAUUUCUAGAGGAUAGGCGGAGAAAACGGAAUUCCACAAGUAGCGGUGAAAUGCGUAGAUAUGUGGAAGAACACCGGUGGCGAAGGCGGUUUUCUAGCUUAUUCCUGACGCUGAGGCCCGAAAGCAAGGGGAGCAAACAGG
rnacentral:rRNA from 1 species